CCUGGAUGUUCCUGGCCCGGCUGGCUUCCAAUCACAAUCCUCAGAUCUCAGCCUCCUGAGUGGCUAGGAUGACAGGCCUGAGCCACCAGCACCCAACUGAAUGGUGGGCUUUUACAAUAUUUUUUUCUGUGGUAAAGAGUGGGAAAUUACAAGAGCAUGAUAGAGCAAAGCAAAACUUUCAGACACUGGAGAGUCAAGACGGCCAAGGCAUCUUACCUACACACACACACACACACACACACACACACACACACACACUCCCA